rnacentral:rRNA from 1 species
UGCGUAGGCGGCCAAUUAAGUCAAAUGUGAAAUCCCCGAGCUUAACUUGGGAAUUGCAUUCGAUACUGGUUGGCUAGAGUAUGGGAGAGGAUGGUAGAAUUCCAGGUGUAGCGGUGAAAUGCGUAGAGAUCUGGAGGAAUACCGAUGGCGAAGGCAGCCAUCUGGUCUGUAACUGACGCUGAGGCGCGAAAGCGUGGGGAGCAAACAGGAUUAGAUACCCGUGUA